rnacentral:lncRNA from 1 species
GGUUUUAACUGAGAGGAACUAAAAGAACUAGAAAUCCUUAGAUCCAAAAGAACUCUUCUGAACAAGGUUGCUGUUGAGAGGGAACAUUACAGAUUUUUAGGUAUGACGCAUGCACGGCCUACCUUACACUUAACCCAAAACAACUGCCCGAACUCGGGUCUUACGCGGUCAGUGCCGGUGACAAGGCAACAAUUACGUCUCUCCCUAUAAUAAC